rnacentral:rRNA from 1 species
GAGGAUGUUGGGUUAAGUCCCGUAACGAGCGCAACCCUUGUCCUUAGUUACCAGCACGUUAUGGUGGGCACUCUAAGGAGACUGCCGGUGACAAACCGGAGGAAGGUGGGGAUGACGUCAAGUCAUCAUGGCCCUUACGGCCUGGGCUACACACGUGCUACAAUGGUCGGUACAAAGGGUUGCCAAGCCGCGAGGUGGAGCUAAUCCCAUAAAACCGAUCGUAGUCCGGAUCGCAGUCUGCAACUCGACUGCGUGAAGUCGGAAUCGCUAGUAAUCGUGAAUCAGAAUGUCACGGUGAAUACGUUCCCGGGCCUU